AGGGGCAGGGUCGGCAGGGCUCCCAUGCGCUCGACCGAGGCAGCAGCGGCGGAGCUUCUCUGUCCAAGGGAAACAAGAACUCCAGCCUAGUGUUGGGUGGGUCCAUGGCAGGAGCGGGGCGCGGCCAGCAUGGCAAGGCGGAUCCAUGGCAGGGAGUGGCGGGAGCAGGACGGCAUGCCCGUGGCAAGCAGUCGGAGCGGCGGCACGGUAGUUUUGGGAGAAGCUUUAGGCUUGUGAUCAUGAGUUGAUACCCGAAGUCUGGAUUUAUCUUCCGUUGUUUUUGCUGCCUAAGGUUAUCACUGAUUUACUAAGUAUUACAGAAUUGCUUGACAAGGAAGCUAGCAAAUAUCUGAGCAGCAUCAUUGAGAUAGCGAAGAGGGAUCUACUCUGUUGGCGGGCCUUGAUAAAGGCGCUGGCGUUGCCUAGGGUUCGCAAGGACUCAUAUAUAGUCUAUUGAUCAACUUCUCGCCCAAGAAUGUCACAUGUCAUUGAGGGCAUCGCUUAUGCAAGAGAGAGGUUGCAGCAGCCAAUCUCCAACUCUCCAUGCGGCUGUGCAGAGGAAAGCCGGGCGAAAUCAUGGUUAGCUUCCGGUCUACCUUGUUGAUGAUGGAACAGAAUCAAAAGGGACCAGCAGGCAACUUGCCAUUCAGCACUAGAGGGCCAAUAGGUAGCCCGCCAGUCAGCAGCUAGCACUGCAGUAGCCCCAUUGUUGGAACUGCAAAACAAUUUUAAUUUUCAUGGGAUUGUUUGUUGCUUUUGAGGAUGUCAGCAAGUUUGCAUCAACAUCAGUGAUAAAUUAUCUUCUGAACAAGGAUAUGAACUUUCAUUUGUCUUUCUCUGUUGCUAAAAGCAUACUAAAGGCGACGUCGCUUUGACUUUUUUUGGACA